rnacentral:rRNA from 1 species
UACGAAGGGGGCUAGCGUUGUUCGGAUUUACUGGGCGUAAAGCGCACGUAGGCGGAUCGUUAAGUCGGGGGUGAAAUCCUGGAGCUCAACUCCAGAACUGCCUUCGAUACUGGCGAUCUUGAGUCCGGAAGAGGUGAGUGGAACUCCUAGUGUAGAGGUGGAAUUCGUAGAUAUUGGGAGGAACACCAGUGGCGAAGGCGGCUCACUGGACCGGUACUGACGCUGAUGCGCGAAAGCGUGGGGAGCAAACGGG